GAUGAACGCUGACUGAAUGCUUAACACAUGCAAGUCCAACUGUGGUGGACGGGUGAGUAACGCGUAAAGAACUUGCCUCACAGAUAGGGACAACAUUUGGAAACGAAUGCUAAUACCUGAUACUGUGAGAGAGCUUUGCGUCCCAUUAGCUAGUUGGAGAGGCAACGGCUCACCAAGGCGAGGAUGGGUAGCCGGCCUGAGAGGGUGAUCGGCCACAAGGGGACUGAGACGCGGCCCUUACGCCUACGGGAAGCAGCAGUGGGAAACAUAGGACGAUGGACCAAAGUAUGAUCCAGCAAUUCUGUGUGGACGAUAAAGUUGUCGGAAUGUAAAGUGCUAUGAGUUGAGAAGCAGUACCAACAGAAGAAGUGACGGCUAAAUACGUGCCAGCAGCCGCGGUAAUAC
rnacentral:rRNA from 1 species